GUCUACACAACCCUCCUUUAACUUUGAAGCAUAGAGGCAAAGACAGAGGAAGGCUUCUGUGAAGAAUUAUUGGUCCACAGUGUGUGAAGUUUUACUAAUUAUGUUACCGAAUUGAGACAAGAUGCCUUUAUCUAGACGGCGCCUCUGCACCUAGAAGAGAAGUGAGAAGUGAGAAUUCAGCCUCUUAGGAACAGACCUUCCCAGGAAGCGCCUCGGUCUGGAGCCCGCACCCCGCCCUCCGCACCCUCCGGCCUGCGCCUGGGAGCUGGUGUCGAGGUCCACCUUGUGGUCCUCUCUCCGCUCCCACAGGAGCUGCGAGGCGAGAGCACCACUGGGUCGCGGCGGAGGUAAAUCUGACGUUGGUCAGCAAGUGAGCCCCGAGGGGACAGAAGUUAAAUCAACAUGCUUCUUCUUCUUUCAAACGAGCGGGCCAACAAACAGAAGGUCAGUAUCGGCACCUUUAGUAAGCACACCGUUGGGG
rnacentral:lncRNA from 1 species